GACGAACGCUGGCGGCGUGCUUAACACAUGCAAGUCGAACGGAAAGGCCCCUUUGGGGGUCCUCGAGUGGCGUACGGGUGAGUAACACGUGAUUAACCUGCCCUUGACUUCGGGAUAACUUCAGGAAACUGGGGCUAAUACCGGAUAGGAAUCCUUGCUGCAUGGUGGGGGUUGGAAAGCUUCGGCGGUUUUGGAUUGACUCGGGGCGUAUCAGCUUGGUGGUGGGGUAGUGGCUUACCAAGGCUUUGUCGGGUAGCCGGCCUGAGUGGGCGACCGGCCACAUUGGGACUGAGAUUCGGCCCAGACGCCGACGGGAGGCAGCGGUGGGGGAUGUUGCACUAUGGGAGGCAGCCUGAGGCAGCAACGCCGCGUGCGUGAUGAGGGCCUUCGGGUUGUAAACGGCUUACAGCAGGGGCGAAGCUUGUGGUGACGGUACCUGGAGAAGAAGCACCGGCUAACUACGUG
rnacentral:rRNA from 1 species